AAAAAUCUGCAGGAAAGAUUAGUUCGUUCACCUGCACUAAGACAUCUUCAAUUACCCCUCGGGGGUAGGUGUUAGUACGAUCUGCCAAUUGGAUAAUCACACCAGUAUUUUUUAAAGGGCCUAGAUUUAAGGAAGCAUAAACAGAUAAAGGCAUAACAUUAAUUGAAGCUCCUAAAUCUAGCAUGGCUUUUUCAAAUCUGGUGUUUCCUAUUUUGCAUGGAAUUGUGAACAUUCCUGGAUCUUUACAUUUAGGAGGCAUUUUUCUUUGAAGAAUAGCAGAUACAUUUUCUCCAACUGUGACUCUUUCAUCGUUUUGCAAUUUUCUUUUAUUAGUGCAUAAUUCUUUUAAAAAUUUAGCAUACCGUGGUACUUGUUUAAUUGCAUCAAGGAGAGGGAUGUUCACUUCUACUUUUCUAAAAGUUUCCAAAAUUUCUUUUACUUUUUC
rnacentral:lncRNA from 1 species